AUCUUAAUAGUUUUGAAUUAAAAUAUUAAAUUGCAAAUUUAAAGAAUUUAAAUAAUUAAAGUAAGAUU
rnacentral:tRNA from 1 species